CCUACGGGCGGCUGCAGUGGGGAAUAUUGGACAAUGGGCGCAAGCCUGAUCCAGCAAUGCCGCGUGUGUGAAGAAGGCCUGCGGGUUGUAAAGCACUUUAAGCAGGAAAGAAGGGGUGAAAGUUAAUACCUUUCAUCAUUGACGUUACCUGCAGAAUAAGCACCGGCUAACUCCGUGCCAGCAGCCGCGGUAAUACGGAGGGUGCGAGCGUUACUCGGAAUGCGCGGGCGUGGAGCGAGCGUAGGGGCGUGAAAGCCCUGGGCUUAACCUGGGAACUGCGGUGGAUACGGUCGGGCUAGAGUGUGGUAGAGGGGAGUGGAAUUUCCGGUGUAGCAGUGAAAUGCGUAGAGAUCGGAAGGAACACCAGUGGCGAAGGCGGCUCACUGGACUAACACUGACGCUGAGGUGCGAAAGCGUGGGGAGCAAACAGGAUUAGAUACCCGAGUAGUC
rnacentral:rRNA from 1 species